CUGCAGCAGGAGUUUUUGAAAAUCUUCACCCUGGCAGUAGUUUUCAAAAUGUUCGGUUUCAGUGACCUGGUGCAGCGUUUGCGUGAGGACGAACGGCCAAACCGCAUAGAAAAAGCUGCUGUUUUGAAAAUAACCGCGUUCGUGAGGACAGGGCCAAUGAGCGCGCGCGUUGAGCAUUCAAAUCGCAUUUAAACUGGAGCGCAGGAGGUUACCAUGGUAACAGGGAGUCAACGCACUCAUCUGACAAGUAGGGAGAGGCUGUCUCUCUGCUGUUUUCACUGCUUUCAGGAGUUGUCUUCAAAAAGACCGUUAGCAUCAGAGGCUAACAAUUAGAGACGUUCCAGUUUCUCCACCACUCCAACCGCUCCCCGGAUUCCUGCAAGAGAUCACAGUUACAGUCACUGCAAGCCUACCUAUCUGGACCUUGUCACAUUGUGCUUCACUCUCCGCUUGUCACCUCUUGGUUACUC